GGAUCAAUGUUUCGGUCAUGCCGUUGGUAUGUACUGAUAUUAUUGGUUUCUCACCUUCUAAAGAACCGUAAUGCCAUUAAUUUGGUGUCACGGGGAAUUAGGACUGUUACCUUGAAAAAUUAGAGUGUUUAAAGCAGGCUUACGCUUGAAUACAUUAGCAUGGAAUAAUGAAAUAGGACAUCCGAUUCUAUUUUGUUGGUUUCUAGGAUCGAUGUAAUGAUUAAU
rnacentral:rRNA from 1 species